ensembl:ncRNA T19D2.5 ncRNA
UGUUAUUUCGGCGGCAAGUCGGUACCAUUGACACACAUAGAGAAACUGACGUCCGUCUUAUUACUACCGCCUCCCCAUGCAAUAAUCAUAUUUUGCCGACAACUUUAUGACCAUCACAGCGAUACAUACGUUUUGAUGAAUAGUCCAGAUAGG